GAUGAACGCUGGCGGCGUGCCUAAUACAUGCAAGUCGAGCGAACAGAUAAGGAGCUUGCUCCUUUGACGUUAGCGGCGGACGGGUGAGUAACACGUGGGUAACCUACCUAUAAGACUGGGAUAACUUCGGGAAACCGGAGCUAAUACCGGAUAACAUUUGGAACCGCAUGGUUCUAAAGUGAAAGAUGGUUUUGCUAUCACUUAUAGAUGGACCCGCGCCGCAUUAGCUAGUUGGUAAGGUAACGGCUUACCAAGGCGACGAUACGUAGCCGACCUGAGAGGGUGAUCGGCCACACUGGAACUGAGACACGGUCCAGACUCCUACGGGAGGCAGCAGUAGGGAAUCUUCCGCAAUGGGCGAAAGCCUGACGGAGCAACGCCGCGUGAGUGAUGAAGGGUUUCGGCUCGUAAAACUCUGUUAUUAGGGAAGAACAAAUGUGUAAGUAACUGUGCACGUCCUGACGGUACCUAAUCAGAAAGCCACGGCUAACUACGUG
rnacentral:rRNA from 1 species